rnacentral:rRNA from 1 species
UACGGAAGGGGCAAGCGUUGUUCGGAAUCAUUGGGCGUAAAGGGCGCGUAGGUGGUUCUGUAUGUCUACCGUGAAAGCGUACGGCUCAACCGUAUUUUGUCGGUAGAAACUGCAGGACUUGAGGCUGGGAGGGGCUGGUGGCAUUCCCUGUGUAGCGGUGAAAUGCGUAGAGAUGGGGGAGAACACUCGUGGCGAAGGCGGCCAGCUAGACCAGUUCUGACACUGAGGCGCGACAGCGUGGGGAGCAAACAGG